GAUGAACGCUAGCUACAGGCUUAACACAUGCAAGUCGAGGGGCAGCAUGGUCUUAGCUUGCUAAGGCCGAUGGCGACCGGCGCACGGGUGAGUAACACGUAUCCAACCUGCCGUCUACUCUUGGACAGCCUUCUGAAAGGAAGAUUAAUACAAGAUGGCAUCAUGAGUCCGCAUGUUCACAUGAUUAAAGGUAUUCCGGUAGACGAUGGGGAUGCGUUCCAUUAGAUAGUAGGCGGGGUAACGGCCCACCUAGUCUUCGAUGGAUAGGGGUUCUGAGAGGAAGGUCCCCCACAUUGGAACUGAGACACGGUCCAAACUCCUACGGGAGGCAGCAGUGAGGAAUAUUGCACAAUGGGGGAAACCCUGAUGCAGCGACGCCGCGUGGAGGAAG
rnacentral:rRNA from 1 species